AUUGAACGCUGGCGGCAGGCCUAACACAUGCAAGUCGGGCGAGCGGCGUGCGGGUUAGCAAUGUAUGUGGCUCUGCCUGAUGGCGGGGGAUCAGUAAAGGACACGGUUGCUAAAACCGCAUACAUUCGGAUAAAUCCAUAUGGGAUUAGCUAGUAGUUGAGGUAACGGCUUACCACGGUGACGAUCCCUAGUUGGUCUGAGAGGAUGAUCAGCCACACUGGAACUGAGACACGUCCCAGACUCCUACGGGAGGCAGCAGGGGGGAAUAUUGCACAAUGGGCGAAAGCCUGAUGCAGCCAUGCCGCGUGUAUGAAGAAGGCCUUCGGGUUGUAAAGUACUUUCAGUCGGGAGGCGUUACCGACAGAAGAAGCACCGGCUAACUACGUGCCAGCAGCCGCGGUAAUAC
rnacentral:rRNA from 1 species